GGGAUGAGCACUUUCACUUGAAAUCAUCAACUGAUGCGCACAGCCAUUAAAUAAUGCCUAAGCAAAGACAAGCCCGUAAAACAUUUCCUAUGACAAGGAGUUUAACAAAGACGUCUCUUUUCGGGGGAGAGAAACCAUUCAUGUUUCCUCAUGAGUUGCUGUGAGUCGCUAGUUGGUAGAAAUUGGCUAAUUGGUGUAAAAACAUGUUCUUAUUUGGUCGUGCGUCAUCGAUCAUACACACAAUUGAUGAUCUGUGGGUCCACGUCUCUGGUGUAGAAAAAAGCCGAGAAGCGGGAGGACGUUCAUCCCAAGCCCACUUGAAGAUACUUCUUGACAACAGCCAAGGUAUUAGUACGAGUAUUCCUUCAAAAUAUUACUACAGCUAGGGCGACUUAAAUGCACCGUCAUACCACGUCGGUUAAGAGAUUCUUUUUUGCAUUGCUAAGCACCAGGAACUUACGUACUUGUGCGUGUGUACUGUACGUGUGCUAGGUGGUGGGAUGGCACCGAUGGCAUCCAGUAUUGGCAAAAGUUCUUCGCGUUCCACAGAACCCUACCUAACCUCCCACCCACCCACCUGGAAUCGAUCAAUCAAUCAAUCCAUCCAUCCAUCCAUCCAAGCUGAAGCUGUACGUUCUCGUCACACCUGAGAUGCAUUUCAAAUGAAGAAAACAACGAGCAACACCACUCAUGCAUAGGAAAAUGAAGAAGGAAGAGAGAGAGAGAGAGAGAGAGAGAGAGAGGCCACCACUCAUAUCCAUAUUACUGCACAGAACUGCAGUAAUCGAGGAGGCCAACAUGUUGUGAUUGUGUAUUCAUGGAGGAUCAUUUCUAUACCUGGUUGUCCGCUUUGACAAAUGUGGAAAUCGCCCACGAAUCGGUGUCCUAUGAAUAGCAGUCAAGAUUAAAAGGGCCCUCUGCCGACGUCAAAUGCUCAAGAAAGCUGACGAAUCCUUACCAAAGAAACCACAAACUCAUCUUUAUUGAACAACCUUGGAAUAAACUCCUGGAUCAUGACAACAACAAGCACAGAAAUGAGUGGGUUCGUCUUUGUAUUGCUCAGUUGUUCAUAUACCUUUGCAUGCAUAAACUCAUAGUUGACUAC